UUGUCGCACGUCGCCUUCUACGUGCUGCGCAUCGACAUGGACGUCGCCAUGCCAAGAAGCGCCGCAAGAAGGAUGCCCGGGCCACACUUGACCCUGAGCGAGUCCGCCGGAUCGGUGGUGAUCCUGGCGCUGGACCCAGCAACGUUGCGACGCCUGCUGCACCGCCGCAGUAACCGCCAGCGCCACGUCAAGACCGAUGGGUGCGUCCUCCAUCGCCUUUGCCGGAGUGGGUUGCAGAGCGGUUACGUGAGUCCGAGACCCAACAGCCACUCCAUUCGAUGCGGUACUGGUACCGCCCCCUCCAUGGAUGGGGGUCGUGCCCUGCUCGCCAACCACGGGAUUUUCCACCGGAUGCAGACACCUCCGCUACCGCUGUUCGAUCGAGCGGACUGCUCAUUCAAGUUGCCUCUCCAGCGGACACGGCUGACUGCGCGGAAGUCAACCGGCCCCUCGCGGUCGCCCCGUCGGCCAGAUCGCAUCAAUGUCGGCUGCGACCGUUGCCGUCGAUGA
rnacentral:misc_RNA from 1 species